CUGCUAAAGCGGAGGAAGGAAAUGGGCAACGGUAGGUCAGCAUGCCCCGAAUUAUCUGGGCUACACGCGGGCUACAAUGGGUGGGACAAUGGGUAUCGACACCGAAAGGUGAAGGCAAUCUCCUAAACCCAUCCGUAGUUCGGAUUGUGGGCUGCAACUCGCCCACAUGAAGCUGGAAUCUGUAGUAAUCGUGUCUCAAAAUGGCACGGUGAAUAUGUCCCUGCUCCUU
rnacentral:rRNA from 1 species